rnacentral:rRNA from 1 species
CCUACGGGUGGCAGCAGGGAGGAAUAUUGGUCAAUGGGCGCGAGCCGGAACCAGCCAAGGAGCGUGAAGGAUGACUGCCCUACGGGUUGUAAACUUCUUUUAUAAAGGAAUAAAGUGAGGCACGUGUGCCUUUUUGCAUGUACUUUAUGAAUAAGGAUCGGCUAACUCCGUGCCAGCAGCCGCGGUAAUACGGAGGAUCCGAGCGUUAUCCGGAUUUAUUGGGUUUAAAGGGAGCGUAGAUGGGUUGUUAAGUCAGUUGUGAAAGUUUGCGGCUCAACCGUAAAAUUGCAAUUGAUACUGGCAGCCUUGAGUACAGUUGAGGUAGGCGGAAUUCGUGGUGUAGCGGUGAAAUGCUUAGAUAUCACGAAGAACUCCGAUUGCGAAGGCAGCUUACUAAACUGCCACUGACAUUGAUGCUCGAAAGUGUGGGUAUCAAACAGGAUUAGAUACCCCAGUAGUC